rnacentral:rRNA from 1 species
CUGAAGAUGGCGACCGGCGCACGGGUGAGUAACACGUAUCCAACCUGCCGAUAACUCUGGAAUAGCCUUUCGAAAGAAAGAUUAAUACCGGAUAGUAUACGAAUAUCGCAUGAUAUUUUUUAUUUAAAGAAUUUCGGUUAUCGAUGGGGAUGCGUUCCAUUAGUUUGUUGGCGGGGUAACGGCCCACCAAGACUACGAUGGAUAGGGGUUCUGAGAGGAAGGUCCCCCACAUUGGAACUGAGACACGGUCCAAACUCCUACGGGAGGCAGCAUG